rnacentral:rRNA from 1 species
AGGAACAUGUGGUUUAAUUCGAUGAUACGCGAGGAACCUUACCUGGGCUUAAAUGUAGAGCGACAGAUCGGGAAACUGGUCCUUCUUCGGACGAUCUACAAGGUGCUGCAUGGUUGUCGUCAGCUCGUGCCGUGAGGUGUCGGGUUAAGUCCCAUAACGAGCGCAACCCUUAUCGUUAGUUGCCAGCGGGUAAUGCCGGGGACUCUAACGAAACUGCCGGUGUAAACCGUGAGGAAGUGGGGAUGACGUCAAAUCAGCACGGCCCUUAUGUCCAGGGCGACACACGUGUUACAAUGGCCGGUACAGAGGGCAGCUACCUGGUGACAGGAUGCAAAUCUCCAAAACCGGUCUCAGUUCGGAUCGAAGUCUGCAACUCGACUUCGUGAAGCUGGAUUCGCUAGUAAUCGCGCAUCAGCCAUGGCGCGGUCGAAUACGUUCCCGGGCCUU